rnacentral:rRNA from 1 species
CGCCUUGCCAGCCCGCUCAGAACUUAAAGGAAUUGACGGGGCCCGCACAAGCGGUGGAGCAUGUGGUUUAAUUCGACGCAACGCGAAGAACCUUACCUGGCCUUGACAUCCAGAGAACUUUCCAGAGAUGGAUUGGUGCCUUCGGGAACUCUGAGACAGGUGCUGCAUGGCCGUCGUCAGCUCGUGUCGUGAGAUGUUGGGUUAAGUCCCGUAACGAGCGCAACCCCUAUCCCUGGUUGCUAGCAGGUAAUGCUGAGAACUCCAGGGAGACUGCCGGUGACAAACCGGAGGAAGGUGGGGAUGACGUCAGGUCAUCAUGGCCCUUACGGCCAGGGCUACACACGUGCUACAAUGGCGCGUACAGAGGGCUGCCAACUCGCGAGAGUGAGCCAAUCCCUUAAAACGCGUCGUAGUCCGGAUCGGAGUCUGCAACUCGACUCCGUGAAGUCGGAAUCGCUAGUAAUCGCGAAUCAGAAUGUCGCGGUGAAUACGUUCCCGGGCCUU